rnacentral:rRNA from 1 species
UACAGAGGUCUCAAGCGUUGUUCGGAUUCAUUGGGCGUAAAGGGUGCGCAGGCUGCGUGGUAAGUCGGGUGUGAAAUUUAGGGGCUUAACCCCUAAACUGCAUUCGAUACUGCCAUGCUAGAGGACUGUAGAGGAGAUUGGAAUUCACGGUGUAGCAGUGAAAUGCGUAGAUAUCGUGAGGAAGACCAGUGGCGAAGGCGAAUCUCUGGGCAGGUCCUGACGCUCAUGCACGAAGGCUAGGGGAGC